CUUUUGAUCAAAAAAAAAUAUAACAAUAUCUUAUAAUCAUCUAUAAAAAUAAUGUUAUACUUGUUUCCACCUCUAGUUUGCAUAAACUUU